UACGAAGGGGACUAGCGUUGUUCGGAUUUACUGGGCGUAAAGCGCGCGUAGGCGGAUCGCUAAGUCAGGGGUGAAAUCCCAGGGCUCAACCCUGGAACUGCCUUUGAUACUGACGGUCUGGAGAUCGGGAGAGGUUGGUGGAAUUCCGAGUGUAGAGGUGAAAUUCGUAGAUAUUCGGAGGAACACCAGAAGCGAAGGCGGCCAACUGGCCCGGUACUGACGCUGAGGCGCGAAAGCGUGGGGAGCAAACAGG
rnacentral:rRNA from 1 species